UACGGAGGGGGCAAGCGUUAUUCGGAAUUAUUGGGCGUAAAGGGCGCGUAGGCGGCUAGAUGUGUCAAAGGUGAAAUCCCUCGGCUCAACUGAGGAACAGCGCUUGAUACUGCAAGGCUUGAGGGAGACAGGGGUAAGCGGAACUGAUGGUGGAGCGGUGAAAUGCGUUGAUAUCAUCAGGAACACCGGUGGCGAAGGCGGCAUCCUGGACCGGUAUUGACGCUGAGGCGCGAAAGCUAGGGGAGCAAACGGG
rnacentral:rRNA from 1 species